rnacentral:rRNA from 1 species
GUGAAUCAUCGAGUCUUUGAACGCAUAUUGCACUCUCUUCACGGAGAGUAUGCCUGUUUGAGAAUCUAAAGUAUUUAUUUUCGAGGUUUACUGAGUAAUCGGUAAACCUAGAGAGAUUUGACGCAUGUCUACCCGACUGCCUUGAAAUUUAUAACUGGUUUUGGUGUAGAAAUGUUUGAGCUUCUGCAAAGUCAACCAAAAAGUAUUUGAAUGAAACUAAUGUUUCUCAUAAUGCCUAGUAGAAGACAGUAGUGGUGUAGUUCUAUUAGCGAAGUUGGUUCGUAUACUUAGAGCUUAGACCGUAAAAAGUCUUGGCUUGAACCAUGGUCUCAAAUCAGGUAGGAAUACCCGCUGAACUUAAGCAUAUCAAUAAGCGGAGG